rfam:Capnocytophaga sp. oral taxon 332 str. F0381 genomic scaffold Scfld1001, whole genome shotgun sequence.
UAACCUCUGACGAGAGUCGUGUAUGUUG